GAAUUUUAGGGCGUCUACUUCGGUAGAGCCUGACCUCCACUCUCUAACACUGUGCACUCAUUGGUGGGAUUUAAAAAGGAGAUAGUAUCAAAUUGGAAUUUCCCACGGCUCACUUUUAAACAUUAGUCAAAGUAUGUAACGAAAUAUCGAAAUAAAAAAAAACUUUCAACAACGGAUCUCUUGGCUCU
rnacentral:misc_RNA from 1 species